rnacentral:tRNA from 1 species
GGAGGUAUAGUUCAGUGGUAUAGUGUUUGCCUAGCAUGCACAAGGCCCUGAGUUCAAUUCCCAGUAUCCCCC